GACGAACGCUGGCGGCGUGCUUAACACAUGCAAGUCGAGCGAUGAAAGCCUUAUGAACUAUUCGUAGUGAUUGGGGCCGGAUUAGCGGCGGACGGGUGAGUAACGCGUGAGCAACCUGCCUUAAACAACGGGAUAGCCUCGGGAAACCGGGAUUAAUACCGUAUGAGACCCCGCCUUAACACGAAGUCGAGGUUAAAGAUUUAUCGGUUUAAGAUGGGCUCGCGUCUGAUUAGCUAGUUGGUGAGAUAAAAGCCCACCAAGGCAACGAUCAGUAACCGGCUUGAGAGAGUGAACGGUCACAUUGGAACUGAGACACGGUCCAAACUCCUACGGGAGGCAGCAGUGGGGAAUAUUGCACAAUGGGGGAAACCCUGAUGCAGCGACGCCGCGUGAGCGAUGAAGGAAUUCGUUUCGUAAAGCUCUGUCCAAGGGGAAGAUAAUGACAGUACCCUUGGAGGAAGCCCCGGCUAAAUACGUGCCAGCCGCCGCUGUAA
rnacentral:rRNA from 1 species